rnacentral:rRNA from 1 species
AUAGCUCGCCGAAAGGCGAAUUAAUACCGCAUGUGAUCAGAAAGGACAUCCUUUCGAAAUUAAAGGCGGGGCAACCUGACGCUUCUUGUGGGGCCCGCGGCCUAUCARCUAGUUGGUGAGGKAACGGCCCACCAAGGCUUUGACGGGUAGCUGGUCUGAGAGGACGACCAGCCACACUGGGACUGASACACGGCCCAGACACCUACGGGUGGCAGCAGUCGAGAAUUUUUGACAAUGGGGGAAACCCUGAWCGANCGACNCCGCGUGGAGGAUGAAGGUCUUCGGAUUGUAAACUCCUGUCAUUGGGGAACAAGGUGCAUACGUUAACUGCGUGUGCAUWGACAGUACCCGAAGAGGAAGAGACGGUUAACCCUGUGCCA